AUUGAACUCCCUCUGUCCCAAAACUCUUGUCUUAGAUUUGUCUAAAUACGGAUGUAUCAAGUCAUGUUUUAGUAUUAGAUACAUCCAUAUCUAGACAAAUCUAAGACAAGAAUUUUGGGACGGAGGGGGUACACU
rfam:Triticum aestivum genome assembly, contig: Triticum_aestivum_CS42_TGACv1_scaffold_404467_5BL